GACGAACGCUGGCGGCGUGCCUAAUACAUGCAAGUCGUGCGGACCUUUUAAAAGCUUGCUUUUAAAAGGUUGCUUUUAAAAGGUUAGCGGCGGACGGGUGAGUAACACGUGGGCAACCUGCCUGUAAGAUC
rnacentral:rRNA from 1 species